rnacentral:rRNA from 1 species
CAAAGGAAUUGACGGGACCCGCACAAGCGGUGGAUGAUGUGGUUUAAUUCGAUGCAACGCGAAAAACCUUACCCACCUUUGACAUGUACGGAAGUUGCCAGAGAUGGCUUCGUGCUCGAAAGAGAGCCGUAACACAGGUGCUGCAUGGCUGUCGUCAGCUCGUGUCGUGAGAUGUUGGGUUAAGUCCCGCAACGAGCGCAACCCUUGUCAUUAGUUGCUACGAAAGGGCACUCUAAUGAGACUGCCGGUGACAAACCGGGGGAAGGUGGGGAUGACGUCAAGUCCUCAUGGCCCUUAUAGGUGGGGCUACACACGUCAUACAAUGGCUGGUACAAAGGGUUGCCAACCCGCGAGGGGGAGCCAAUCCCAUAAAGCCAGUCGUAGUCCGGAUCGCAGUCUGCAACUCGACUGCGUGAAGUCGGAAUCGCUAGUAAUCGUGGAUCAGCAUGUCACGGUGAAUACGUUCCCGGGUCUU